rnacentral:misc_RNA from 1 species
AACACUGUUAACCUGCGGUACCUGCGGAGGGAUCAUUAGCGAAGCGAACGCCCUCCCGGGGUUGUGCUGGCGCUCCUGCGCACGUGCACGCCUCGGAGGGUUGUCCACCCUUCUCACACCUGUGCACACGUCCGGUCGGACCCGGCGCCGCCUCGCGCGUCGACCGGCCGCCUUUCACAACAGCCAUGUCAGAGUGUCGAAAGCUUUAUGCGCUUGCGCAACCGAAAAACAACUUUCAAC